ACGCAGUUUCUCUGAAGAAACUAUAGAACCGGUGACGAAUGGGGUAGAUGAGCGAGAAGGCUGUCUAAAAUAUCCAGUGUCUCUGAAUUUUUCAAUCUACCCUGCAUAUGCAAUCGUCGGGACCAAGAACAUCUUCCUCCUCAUGCACGGACCUAGCAUGACAAGAACCCAGUGAAAUAACGGUAUCGGACAAAAUAACAGGUUUACCGUCCACUGUAGACUCCCACUGUUCAGCCUCAGAGGAAUGUGCAUAAUAGGGUUUUAACAAAUUUACAUGGCACAGUUGGUGUGCUUUUCUCCGUUCUGGAGUGGCAACUAGAUUGUUUUGCUCAGUGCACUGGCGCACAACCGUAUAUGGAUCUUCAAACUUGGCUUGUAAAGGAGAGCCAACAAUUGGCAGCAGACAUAUGUUGCUGGCCAACAUAUGUCCAGCAACGUCGUUGUGGGAAGUUGUCAUCACCAACUCUCGAAGCUUAACUGGUACAACAACCUGACUAAUCGCCUCCCCCAGAAAACAACUACCACGAGACACCCACUUUCUCAUCAGGACAUCCUCUUGGAGAAAAUAGCCAUGGACGACAUCUCCCAACUAUUCCACAGGCACAAUUUGGUCACAGCACUCUUCUAAUGUGAGGUCAGCCCGUUGCGCCUUGAUUAGAUCGGAGCGGGGUACAGAUAACGGGAUAGCAGGGAAAGUAGUGACAGAUUUCUUUGUGGCAUUCUCGUUAGCCGGCGCAGUGACCAGGUCGCCACGGCUCAUAGAACGCGUCACUGCACACGCAGAGAACACCUCUGGGGAAACUCUGCGCACUCUCAUCAGGAAUCCCUACAAAUGACGGCUUAGCGGAAACCACUAGAGAUGGAAACACGACAGGCCAUACACGCUCACCAGCCAAGUUAUUCCCAAGGAUAACGUCGAUACUGUCAUGACUGUCCUGAUCAGGUCAGGUUACAGGAGACCACAACCCUACAGAGUAUCUCUCAACCCCAACAGAGGAGGAGAGAUCUAGGGGUCUGAAGAUGUGGGGAUUUUAUGACCCCUCACGCCCAUGAUAAAUCUUAG
rnacentral:lncRNA from 1 species